UACAGAGACCUCAAGCGUUAUCCGGAAUCAUUGGGCGUAAAGCGUACCGAUAGGUGUUUAAGAAAGUCAGAUGUGAAAUCUCCGAGCUCAACUCGGAAUCUGUCAUUUGAAACUUCUUGACUAGAGGGGCAAAGAGGAAGCUGGAACGAACGGUGUAGUAGUGAAAUGCGUUGAUAUCGUUCGGAACACCAAUAGCGUAGGCAGGCUUCUGGGUGCCACCUGACACUGCUAGGACGAAAGCGUGGGGAGCGAAUGGG
rnacentral:rRNA from 1 species